rnacentral:rRNA from 1 species
ACGUCCACAGUUGCCAGCAUACCCUCCGGGGUGGAUGGGUACGACUGUGGAGACCGCCGGCUGCUAAAGCGGAGGAAGGAGUGGGCAACGGUAGGUCGAGUAUGCCCCGAAUCUCCCGGGCUACACGCGGGCUACAAUGGUUGGUACAAUGGGCAUCUACCCCGAAAGGGGAAGGAAAUCUCUUAAAGCCAAUCGUAGUUCGGAUUGAGGGCUGCAACUCGCCCUCAUGAAGCUGGAAUCCGUAGUAAUCGCGUUUCAACAGAACGCGGUGAAUACGUCCCUGCUCCUU